GUUCAUUCCGAUGAACAUAUACUAAAAUUGGAACAAUACAGAGAAGAUUAGCAU
rfam:Onchocerca ochengi, WGS project CAWC01000000 data, contig: 17108_20249